rnacentral:misc_RNA from 1 species
GAUGAAGAACGCAGCGAAAUGCGAUAAGUAGUGUGAAUUGCAGAAUUCAGUGAAUCAUCGAAUCUUUGAACGCACAUUGCGCCCCUUGGUAUCCCGAGGGGCAUGCCUGUUCGAGCGUCAUUUCACCACUCAAGCCUGGCUUGGUGUUGGGCGACGUCCUCUUUGGGGACGCGCCUCGAAACGCUCGGCGGCGUGGCACCGGCUUUAAGCGUAGCAGAAUCUUUCGCUUUGGAAGUCGGGGCCCCGUCUGCCGGAAGACCUGCUCGCAAGGUUGCCCUCGGAUCAGGCAGGGAUACCCGCUGAACUUAAGCAUAUCAAUAAGCGGAGGA